UAGGGAAUCUUCGGCAUUGGGGGGAACCCUGACCGAGCAACGCCGCGUGAGUGAAGAAGGUUUUCGGAUCGUAAAGCUCUGUUGUAAGAGAAGAACGGGUGUGAGAGUGGAAAGUUCACACUGUGACGGUAUCUUACCAGAAAGGGACGGCUAACUACGUGCCAGCAGCCGCGGUAAUACGUAGGUCCCGAGCGUUGUCCGGAUUUAUUGGGCGUAAAGCGAGCGCAGGCGGUUAGAUAAGUCUGAAGUUAAAGGCUGUGGCUUAACCAUAGUAUGCUUUGGAAACUGUUUAACUUGAGUGCAGAAGGGGAGAGUGGAAUUCCAUGUGUAGCGGUGAAAUGCGUAGAUAUUGGGAGGAAUACCGGUGGCGAAGGCGACUUUCUGGACUUUUACUGACGCUCAGGUACGAAAGCGUGGGGAGCAAACAGGAUUANAUACCCUGGUAGUCCACGCCGUAAACGAUGAAUGCUAGGUGUUGGGAGUCAAAUCUCGGUGCCGAAGUUAACACAUUAAGCAUUCCCGCCUGGGGAGUACGGUGGCAACCACUGAAA
rnacentral:rRNA from 1 species